UAGCCGCGGGAAUACAGAGGGUGCGAGCGUUAAUCGGAUUUACUGGGCGUAAAGCGUGCGUAGGCGGCUUCUUAAGUCGGAUGUGAAAUCCCUGAGCUUAACUUAGGAAUUGCAUUCGAUACUGGGAAGCUAGAGUAUGGGAGAGGAUGGUAGAAUUCCAGGUGUAGCGGUGAAAUGCGUAGAGAUCUGGAGGAAUACCGAUGGCGAAGGCAGCCAUCUGGCCUAAUACUGACGCUGAGGUACGAAAGCAUGGGGAGCAAACAGGAUUAGAUACCCCCGUAGUCCCUGUCUCUUAUACACA
rnacentral:rRNA from 1 species